rnacentral:rRNA from 1 species
GACGAACGCUGGCGGCGUGCUUAACACAUGCAAGUCGAGCGGUAAGGCCCUUUCGGGGGUACACGAGCGGCGAACGGGUGAGUAACACGUGGGUGACCUGCCCUCAGCUCUGGGAUAAGCCUGGGAAACUGGGUCUAAUACUGGAUAUGACUCCACGGUGCAUGUCGUGGGGUGGAAAGCCUUGUGCGGCUGAGGAUGGGCCCGCGGCCUAUCAGCUUGUUGGUGGGGUGAUGGCCUACCAAGGCGACGACGGGUAGCCGGCCUGAGAGGCGACCGGCCACACUGGGACUGAGACACGGCCCAGACUCCUACGGGAGGCAGCAGUGGGGAAUCUUGCGCAAUGGGCGAAAGCCUGACGCAGCGACGCCGCGUGAGGGAUGACGGCC